AUCUGUUCAAAGAAACCAAGAUCUGUUAAUAUCAAAUACGUCAGCCAUUGGCAAUGGAAUAAAAGUUGGGUCGUGGGAGGAAGAAGCUGGUUCGUUGCCAUUUUUAGUUGUAUAAGUUUUCCAUAGGCUUCGAUCAUCUCCCCAAUAAACCCAGAGCCUCAUUUUCUCCUGCUAAGCAAAAGAAAAUCAAGGAGGCCUGCAACUUCGUAUGCAGUCCGCCACUGCAAAUCAGUCUAGAAACUGGAAAAUUCAAAGGUCAUAUUUUUCACUUUCUGGAUGUGCAAAGUUUGGAUAGUACACAUCACCGGGCCAAACCUUUCUCAGGAAUGUCAUUCUAAAAGGAUAUUGGCAGGAGGGGGUGGAAUGUCAUUCUAAGAUAUAUAUAUCAGCAGCAAGGGUGUGGAAGCUCACACGCUCAGAUUUCAACGCGUUUCGAAGGUGGAAAUGACAAGAAUGUGCAGUGUGGACCUCCAAUUUCUAGUGCUAUGAUGCAUGAGGACUGCCAAAGUGAGAAUACUGGUUAGUUGUCAUCAAGCAGCCCUUGUAGAUGUGUAUUUUGUUUAUAUAUUGCUAGUUUAACCAUUAGUACGUUUGACUUGGGGAUACAAGCUUGGAUAUGUUAUAUUUUGUUGUAUAUAGAGAAUCCCGGGUAUGUCCAGCAUAGGAUAACAUGUAUUUUUUGGUUUAACAUUUGGAUGGGUUGUAUUGUUAGGUUGCAUGAAUCGGUCUUAGCCGAGAACAUGGGUUAUGUAAUAUAUUAACUUCACUAUUUUAGUGCUAAUGUUGAUUUAUGUUUAGUUUGUAA